rnacentral:rRNA from 1 species
UACGAGGGGGGCAAGCGUUGUUCGGAAUUAUUGGGCGUAAAGAGCUCGUAGGCGGUCUGUCGCGUCGGCUGUGAAAACCCGGGGCUCAACCCCGGGCCUGCAGUCGAUACGGGCAGACUAGAGUGCGGUAGGGGAGACUGGAAUUCCUGGUGUAGCGGUGAAAUGCGCAGAUAUCGGGAGGAACACCGGUGGCGAAGGCGGUUCUCUGGGCCUUACCUGACGCUGAGGAGCGAAAGCGUGGGGAGCGAACAGG